GGAAGAUAAAGACAUCAUGAUCAGAAAGCUCAACAGGAUCACUCUGCUGCUUCUCUGGCUCUCCUGAGAGCAGGACACUGUACAAACUCACUGAUGAAGACAUGUGACGGUCCGUAAAGCAGACUCCUCCUCCUCGUCCUCUACAUCCAGGCAGCUCUCUUCAGUUUGCAGUCAUUAUUGUUUUCUUUUCAUCUACCUUACAAUCAUGAUCAGACUUCUUAUACGUUUAGCAGCUCUGCCGUUCUGUUUAACAGAACUCUCAAAAACCAGCGUUCAUCAGACUCCCACUGCCAUGAUUAAAGAUGCUGGAGAAGACAUCCUGAUGAACUGCAACCAUUCAAACACUGCUUUUAAUAUGAUCCAGUGGUACAAACAGUCUGCUGGAGAAUAUGAUAUGGCUUUAAUUGGUUAUGUACGAUUCACUUCUGCGGUUGUUGAAGAUAAAUUCAAAGACUCUCAUAAUGUGAGCGGUGAUGGAUCAAGUCUGGCACAUCUUCAUAUUCCAAAGAGUCGAUCCGAGAACAGCGCAGUGUAUUUCUGUGCAGCCAGUAGAGCACAGUGCUACACAAACCCUCCGUCUUUAACAAAAACCUUCUCUGACGCAGCCAGUUACAGAAAUUACCACUUGAACCACAUUGUGAAUGACUGAUAGACAGCUGGUGCACCAUGAGACAGGAGGACUUAAUCAGAAAGGGAGGAGGGAAUCCUCUGUAUACCAGCAUAGUGAAGAAAACAGCACCAGAAACAAGACUGACUUUAAAAACACAACAUGAUGAUCAUUGUCUGCUGCAUAACCUUGAAUGUUAUACUGGUUUCAGGUUCCUCUCUAAAUGAACUAGUCUACCAGAAGCCAGCCCACACUUUCAACAAACCUGAAGGAGCAGCUAAAAUUGAGUGUUCAAAGUAUACA